rnacentral:rRNA from 1 species
GACGAACGCUGGCGGCGUGCCUAAUACAUGCAAGUUGAGCGAUGAAGCUUGGUGCUUGCACCAAUUUGAAGAGCAGCGAACGGGUGAGUAACGCGUGGGGAAUCUGCCUUUGAGCGGGGGACAACAUUUGGAAACGAAUGCUAAUACCGCAUAACAACUUUAAACAUAAGUUUUAAGUUUGAAAGAUGCAAUUGCAUCACUCAAAGAUGAUCCCGCGUUGUAUUAGCUAGUUGGUGAGGUAAAGGCUCACCAAGGCGAUGAUACAUAGCCGACCUGAGAGGGUGAUCGGCCACAUUGGGACUGAGACACGGCCCAAACUCCUACGGGAGGCAGCAGUAGGGAAUCUUCGGCAAUGGACGAAAGUCUGGCCGAGCAACGCCGCGUGAGUGAAGAAGGUUUUCGGAUCGUAAAACUCUGUUGGUAGAGAAGAACGUUGGUGGGAGUGGAAAGCUCAUCAAGUGACGGUAACUACCCAGAAAGGGACGGCUAACUACGUG